AGGAGCUGCCCAGGCACGGCGUGUGGGGCGGGAGAUCACCUCAACGGCCCGUUUGUCCCGGGGCCUGCGAGCCGCCGCUCGUCUGCCCCUGCCAGCCGCGGAACAGGGCUGCUGCCGUCGAAAGGGCACGGCCCUCCAGUUCUCCACAGAUGCAAGAACCACAGCUUACAGAAACACAGCAUCUAUCCUGACCAAGCCAACAGCAGGAACUUUAGCACAUAGAAAGUGUCAUACAAGAACCAAGAAACACAAGAAGAUGCAGCUGAAACUGCCUCUUUCUUGCUCAUUCUUCAGUGCCAGAUCACAUCAGGAUAUAACAUACCUGAGGACUACUUGUUUGCAGGCUGCUGGAAGACAGAGGCAAAAUCACAUAUUGGUGAUUAUGGCUGAUCAGGUGGUGACUCUAGAGCCUGAGUUGCUUAGAUAUGACACUGAUUCUUUCAUGAAAUGCCCUCACCUGACCAAGAGUGGCUAUGGUUGUAAAAGCCAGACAAGGGGGAAGAGAGGAAUGCUGUUGAAAUCUGAUUAGCAGAAAAAGCAAAGCUUUGUCAUUAACCCUAGUCCCUGGCUAUCUUGAUCAGACACCCAAGCCCCUAAGCACAAAAUCCCUCCUGCUCCCUGGUCAUGCCCAUCACAUCAAAGGGAAGUGCACCUCCAGAACAAGCAGCCCUGUUUCCCAUGUAUGUGGGACUUGGCCAUGCACCAGGCCACACAGCAGGAAGUAUUCCAAACUUA